CAGUCGCCGCGGGAAUACGUAGGGUGCAAGCGUUAAUCGGAAUUACUGGGCGUAAAGCGUGCGCAGGCGGUUAUAUAAGACAGAUGUGAAAUCCCCGGGCUCAACCUGGGAACUGCAUUUGUGACUGUAUAGCUAGAGUACGGCAGAGGGGGAUGGAAUUCCGCGUGUAGCAGUGAAAUGCGUAGAUAUGCGGAGGAACACCGAUGGCGAAGGCAAUCCCCUGGGCCUGUACUGACGCUCAUGCACGAAAGCGUGGGGAGCAAACAGGAUUAGAUACCCCGGUAGUCCUGUCUCUUAUACA
rnacentral:rRNA from 1 species